rnacentral:rRNA from 1 species
CGAGGAUUCCCUUAGUAACUGCGAGUGAACGGGGAAAAGCCCAUCGCUGAAUCCUUCAGCCACUGGCUGCUAGGAAUUGUAGCGUAUAGGUGCGGCUGUCCGUUCGUUUCGUGCACCCAAAGUCCCCUUGAGCGGGGCUAUAGUCCAAAGAAGGUGCUAGACCUGUACGGGUGGCGAGGCGAUCGGUUGGUUGCUCCUUGGAGUCGGGUUGCCUGGGAUCGCAGCCCAAAGUUGGUGGUAGACCUCAUCUAAGGCUAAAUAUGGCCACGAAACCGAUAGCAAACAAGUACCGUGAGGGAAAGUUGCAAAGAACUUUGAAGAGAGAGUUCAAGAGGGCGUGAAACCGUUGAGAUUGAAACGGAUAGAGUUGACGGAACUCAGCUGCAUUCAUCCGAUCGGCCUAGUGGCCCGAUAGCGUUCGCAUCCUCGAUGAGGGCAACGUUAUCGGUAACUAUUGGGUAAUUGAUCGGUGUAUUUGCGGCUGGUAUGCGCUGAGAGUUUUGUGAUCGCAUGUUAACGGGUGUGCAGUGGACCAUUCCUUCCGGGCGUGGAACCCUUCACAUUUUUAGACAUGUCGAUUAUAAAGUUUUGAACGUGGCGUCUCCGCUAUUGUGCGUCGGCUUAUGCGUGCUAUCGUGAUUAUUUGAUAUUCGCAUGCGAAUGUCUGUAAUUAACGAUGAUGCGACAAAAGUGUGAGCGCGUUGAGACGUGCAUCUCGGUGUGAACGUUGACCACCUAUCCGA